rnacentral:misc_RNA from 1 species
CGGAAGACGCGGUGGUAUCCGGAAUGCUGAGUCGCAACGCACCAAGUUUCCAACGCCUCCAGAGCGAAGAACCAAUCGGAACGGCCCGAACGCCGACUCUCGAAAUGAGCACUGAAGUCACUGCGGGAACUCCGGCUCAAACGCCCGACGACUGCGGCCCCGAGACGCCCGACCGUUAUCAACCCGCAUUCCUUGUGGAAUGCAGCACCGGGGACACAACUGGACAAGAGAGUAGCAAGUCCGUCGAUGACGUCGACGUCGUUAGCAAGAGCGCACCCGGUUGGCGUCGUGCCGUCGGCGCUCUACUGGUCGUCAGGCUCGAGAUAUACCUGGCGCUCUACGUGGUAGCGCGAAAGAUGAGCACCACAGUCGUCCAGGACUUGCUCCUCCAGAAGUCCUGCCUCAACACGCUCGCCCUCAACUCCAGCGUCUGCUCCCAUCUGGACGACUUCGAGGACGUCAAGGACGAGGCCGAACAGUACGCCAGCACGACGAGCAUGAUGCGCGCCGUCGUGCUCCUGGCACCUUCGGCGGUCAUGGCCAUAUUCGUCGGGCCAUGGUGUGACAAGUACGGCUACCGGACUCCGCUGGUGACCGCCAUGGUGGGUUUCAUGGCCAGCACGCUGCUGGACAUCUUCACCGUGUACCACAUGGCGAUGCCGCUCUACGCGAACAUCCUGUCCAUGAUUCCGGACGGACUGUGCGGAGGGCCCAUCAGCAUCUUCACGGCCGUCUGCAGCGCGGCAACUUUGUCGACGAGGGAGAACCGCAGGCGCAUGAGGUUCUUCGCGCUCAGCAUAGCAAUGUCGCUGGGCGGUCCCCUGGGCAGCUACGUCGGCGGCCAGGUGUACGGCCACUUCGGCUGGAUGCCCGUGCUGUACACGUCUUUCGCGCUUGAGUCGUUCGCGCUCGUAUGGACCUUCGUUGCCAUCAAGAACCUCGCGAAACCGGAGCACGUGAAGGACGGGCUGUCGCUAAGGCUGAAGAAUUUCUUCCAGCUGCAGAACCUGACCGAGAGCUUUAGAAACGCGAUGAAGGCCAGGCCCAACAAGGGAAGGCUGCAGCUGUGGUGUCUCUUCGGGGUCACCGCCUGCGCCAUAUUUGACAUGUCGUCCUCGGGAAUCGCGUACUUUUACGUGCGCAAAAUGUACUCCUGGACGGUGGCCUACUACUCGACGGUGCAGUCCGUGUCCACCGUGGUGGGCGUGGUCCUGAACGUGCCCAUCGUCUUCCUCUUCGUGAAGGUCCUCAAGAUCAGCGACCCCGCCAUGGCGCUCGUCGGCUGCUGCUUCGCGGCUGCGCAGAUGGUCAUACUGGGGCUCGCCUACGAAGAAUGGAUGUACUACCUGCAAUGCCUCGUGGGACUUCCCACUUUCCUCGGCCAGGUGGGCGUGAGGACCCAUCUCUCCAAGCUCGUGGCGCCUGACGAAGUCGGCAAGGUGUUCUCGCUAAUGGCCUCGUUCGAAUCCGUGGUACCAAUCAUCGGCGAGGUGCUGCUCACCACUAUAUUCAACCAGUCCAUCGGAUUUUUGCCGGGAAUGCCUUAUCUGGUGGCCGCCGGAAUCAGUUGCAUCGCCGUCGGCCUCACUGCGUACGUCACCAAAGUUCACCGGUACAGCAUAAAGUACCAGGACAUGUCCAAUUCAGAGAUAUCCUCUGGGCCGAUCAACGACUGAAGCAUCAGCCAACCUGCGCACUGACGGACAACUCCAGACAAAUGCACACAGGCGCUUGGCAGCAACUAGCAUUAAGUGUGCACGCUCUUGCAGUGUUCCUUGGUUGCCUUCUUUUGGCAAACCAAAAGGACUUGAGCGAUGGCCUCCACAUGAACUACCACAUCAGCAGGCGCAUUACUGACACUGACCCUUGAGGCUCGCAUAUACUGCUGCCCUGUGGAGAUAGCUAUCCAAUUCUUUUACAAGGGCCUUUGCACUUACAAGCCAUGAUUUCAAACCUAUUAGGCCCAGAAUAGGCCCCUUGUUCAGUCAGGACUAACAAAGGUUCCUUGCUCCUCCUCCUCCUGCAGCAAGGUUUGGGCAAUACCAUCCUUUGCAGACUUUGCACAGAUUAAAGAGAUAACAUUAGCUGCACAUGACACUUCUGCAUAUGCAUCAUUACUAGUCUCUAUCAGCACAAAUAACUAGGGAAACAUAGAGAACUGUAGCACUGAUUAUCAACUGAGGUUUAUAGUUCGCCCUUCUGAAGGCACCCACAUAAAUACAAACAAAUAAUGUUAUUUCUGCAGAAGCGAACAGUUAAGUCCAGUUGGCAGCCAGCACGUUGCCCAGCCUAUUCUCUCCCCUAUCAUCUUAUCUUCUGCACUGCAAGCACACAGAUAUGAACUGCUGGCUCACCCAUCACUAUGUCAAUAUUAUUGUUUUGAAAUGCAAACUUGCUGUUAUGUUGACAGGGACAAAUUGACGAUACUAUGCAAUAUUCAUACAGGUCGGAGCAGUUGACCCAUAACCACCCUUUGACAGAUUCCAGUUUGCAUUAGCACUUCUGUGCACUUUUUGUGAUAGUGUACAGCAACUGCGGCCAGUGAAUUUAUCAAUGAACAAUCAAAUCCAAUGUGCUUGAUUCUGAUUGUGAACAUAUACACCACCAUGUUUUCAGUAGACAAUAAUUUUAU